CUCUAUUGUUAAUUUGGUGCAUAAAAGUUUUGGAGAGCCAAAGUAGGCCAGUUUUCUUUUCUUCUUACCAACCAAGUGUUCCUUUAUAUUCUGAGCAGGUGUCUCUAUUGUUAAUUUGGUGCAUAAAAGUUUUGGAGAGCCAAAGUAGGCCAGUUUUCUUUUCUUCUUACCAACCAAGUGUUCCUUUAUAUUCUGAGCAGGUGUCUCUAUUGUUAAUUUGGUGCAUAAAAGUUUUGGAGAGCCAAAGUAGGCCAGUUUUCUUUUCUUCUUACCAACCAAGUGUUCCUUUAUAUUCUGAGCAGCUAAGUUGCCUGUCCUUGGGUGGCAUGGUGUGGGUUUGGUGAGAGUGUGUAUGUUAUUUCUUAUUGGCCAUUUCUCUCUCUAGGUAUUUAACUCCGAGAUUACUGCCACUAGACAGCUGGUGGAGCGCACGAUUGGUGUUCUUAAAGGGCGUUUUUGUGUGCUCCACCGCACUGGUGGCGACAUCAUGUAUUCGCCAGAGAUGGUAAGUAAAAUUGUGGUCCUGUGCGCUAUCCUACAUCCUACAUAACAUCGCUGU